rfam:Aspergillus aculeatus ATCC 16872 unplaced genomic scaffold ASPACscaffold_1, whole genome shotgun sequence.
GUCUCGAUGGUGUAGUUGGUUAUCACGUGGGUCUCAUACUUCAGUAUGACUCGGAAGAUCACUUCUGGGCGAUCCCAAGGCCGGGAGUUCGAACCUCCCUCGGGACA